UACGUAGGGGGCUAGCGUUGUCCGGAAUCAUUGGGCGUAAAGCGCGCGUAGGCGGUCAGGUAAGUCCGGUGUGAAAGUCAUAGGCUCAAUCUAUGAAUGCCGCUGGAAACUGCCUGACUUGAGUCCGGAAGGGGCGAGUGGAAUUCCUGGUGUAGCGGUGAAGUGCGCAGAUAUCAGGAGGAACACCAAUGGCGAAGGCAGCUCGCUGGAACGGUACUGGACGCUGAGGAGCGAAAGCGUGGGGAGCGAACAGG
rnacentral:rRNA from 1 species